CUUUUUUUUUUUUUUUUGUCUUCUUAUUUAAGUCAGAGAAUAUCAGAGCUGCAGGGAACCUUGCCAAUACUCUCUAUUUGUACAGAUGGAGAAAAUGAGGCCCAAAGAGUUAGUUAAGAAAACUGUUCAAAUGUCACCUAGCUGGAUCAUAGCAAAAGCAAAAAAGAUCAAAAUCUAGCCUCACUCUCCAACCCAGUACAAUGUUACAUCUACUAAAAAUGCUCAAGGAUUUUUUAUUAUAAUAAUAUUUACACAGAAUUCUUUGAGAGGUGUUCUAGAAGCAUCAAAUUUAAGAAUCAAAAAGAAUAACUAGAGGCACCUGGGUGAAUCAGCCGGUUAAGCCAUCUGACUCUUGAUUUCAGCUCCUGUCCUGAUCUUAGGGCAGUGAGAUCCAGCCCCUGGACAGGCUCUGCACUUAGCAUGGACCCUUCCUGAGACUCUCUCUUCACCUCUUCAUUUCCCUCUAUCCCUGCUCAUACUCUCUCUCUCUAAAUAUUUUUUUAAAUGAAUAGUUAAUUAAAAUAUACCCCAAAGCAAUGAGUACAUGAUAUUCAGAAAAAAUAAAAGCUAGAAAAAACUCAUUUGUCACUCUUGGGAGCCCUAAAACUUACUUUUUAAAUUGGUAAUAAAAGAAAAAGAACUAAGCAUCUUUUUCGCUAACUUUCCAACAGCAGCUCUAUUUUGGAGUAAUUAAAUGUUGCCAGUUUAUAAAAGAAAGCUUCUACUACACAGAAGAAUGCAAAUUAAUAAAUGUAGAUGAAACCCUCAUCUGGAAACUAUCAUUUUGCAACCCCUAAUAAAAUUAGGAUUCAGGCAAGAAUUUUCAAUUAUUGUUAAGGGCAUUACGCAAAUGGUUGAUGGGGAGCUAGACAUUUUUAGGGAGGCAAAACAACACCUUACACACUACGAAGAAAAACAACACAUAAAUUUAGGAGGGAGAUCAAGAUGUCACCAACCUACUCAAGCCUUCAGCAUUAACGUUCAAGUUUAUUAGAAAUUCAAGGACUAGAGGGAUAAGCUAAACAUCAAGAGAAAAUAGUCAAACAAUUACCAAAGGGGAGAGAUACUUUAAGGAUAGUAAGUCUCGCCUCUUUAGCUAAUCAGAGAGGGUGGGGAAAAAAAAAAAAAAAGUGUUGGGGGGGGGGGGUGACUAUCCUAAAUCAGCAGACUUGAAAUACAUAAACAAAAACAAGUGUGGUCUUUAACUGGAUUCUAGUUUGGAUAAAACAUCUGUAAGGGUCAUUCGGGAGAUAAACGGAUAAAUAUGAAGACUUAAAUAUUUGAUAUUAGAAUAUUAGAUAACAUUAAGAUGUCAUUAUUUAAAGUGUGAUUAUUUUUUGUUCCAUAGUUAAUGUGCUUUUAUGGAGAUGCAUACUGAAAGACUUAAAAGUGGAGUAUCCAGAGGUCUAUGGUUCACUUCAAAAUAAUGAGUUUAAGAAAUAAAAGACCAAAAUCCAAGUCUCAACUUCCUAAUUGUUUCCAUAAGUGCACGUUAAAGUACUCAUAAGGUAUAAUAAUAAUCACGCAGAAAGAGCACUCGCGGAGGUUCAGAGACGCGACCUACUCUUCUUGCAGAUACGUAGCUGAAGAGAACUCCGAAGUGAUAACACGAUACCGUUGGAAACAUGGUACGUGCAAGGCACCAAAAGCCAUCAAAGCAGCAUGAAUGAAGAGUUUUGCCCUCAGAAAGCUAAAUAUAUCUAGUAGAACAGUCUCUUGGUGUUUACCAAGAGAACAAGGCUGUUCCAGGAUCACAGUUACGGCUCUGAAGCGGCAGCCGCACUAAAGCCAUCCUCAAUUAUUACAUAAAAUCACUUACUCCUUUCUGACUUCACCGCCCCUUACAACCGGUUCACUACUCCCCAAGUUGUAAUCAAGGUAAGGGGCAGUUUUAAAGAAAGCCUUCUCUCGAGUUACGGGCGCCAAACUAAAGACAGUCUUUACCAUAUUCAUCAGCUUCUUUUCAAGUAGAGCCUCUAAAUCUCAGAACCGGGAACUCACAGCCUCGCUCAAAUCGUGGACAAGAGGCUGACAACCAACCAUCCCACCGACCGACCGACCGACCGACCAGGAAGGAGAUCCCACUCACUGGACUUUUCUUCUCUCUCUCCCUCAAAAUCCAAAGGGUGGCGCUGUCCCCCCUCCUUCCCCACAGGCCAGGAGGGCGCAGAGGUCAUGCGCACCGAACGACCGACCGGUGGGGAAGGUCCACCCGCGGGCCGGCCCGGGUCUGGGCGCUCGGCCGCCGCGCCCCGAGGGUCUCCCCUCCGACGACCCAGCUCGUCCGAGUUGGCCCGCGAGCCCGCCCGCUCCCUCUCCCUAGCGGCUCUCUCUCUCUCAAACUCUUGGAACAGGACUCUGCACGGCCGGGUCCGCCCGGAAACCCCGUGCCGGCGGACACUUGGGCUGUGAGUCCUCAGCCCAGCGCAGGACAGCCUCAGACUGAGAAGCGUCGCGACCCCCCGCACGGACCCGAGGUCCGCCGCUGCCACCGCCGGAGCGCCCUCAAGAGCUUACCGACUCACACACUUGACGGGACUCGGCCGCAGGUAGGAGAUGGGCCGGGCCGCCCAGCGCCCGCACCAACCGCGCUUCCCGCCCCGCCCCGCCGGCCUGCGUGCGUCGAGAG
rnacentral:lncRNA from 1 species